UACGGAGGGGGCUAGCGUUGUUCGGAAUUACUGGGCGUAAAGCGCACGUAGGCGGCUUUGCAAGUUAGAGGUGAAAGCCCGGGGCUCAACUCCGGAAUUGCCUUUAAAACUGCAUCGCUAGAAUUGUGGAGAGGUAAGUGGAAUUCCGAGUGUAGAGGUGAAAUUCGUAGAUAUUCGGAAGAACACCAGUGGCGAAGGCGACUUACUGGACUGUAACUGACGCUGAGGCAUGAAAGCGUGGGGAGCAAACAGG
rnacentral:rRNA from 1 species